ACUGUGUGUUGUUGGGUAGGGGAGCGUUCUGUAAGCCUGCGAAGGUGGCCUGUGAGGGUUGCUGGAGGUAUCAGAAGUGCGAAUGCUGACAUAAGUAACGAUAAUGCGGGUGAAAAACCCGCACGCCGGAAGACCAAGGGUUCCUGUCCAACGUUAAUCGGGGCAGGGUGAGUCGACCCCUAAGGCGAGGCCGAAAGGCGUAGUCGAUGGGAAACAGGUUAAUAUUCCUGUACCUGGUGUUACUGCGAAGGGGGGACGGAGAAGGCUAUGUUGGCCGGGCGACGGUUGUCCCGGUUUAAGCGUGUAGGCUGGUUUUCCAGGCAAAUCCGGAAAAUCAAGGCUGAGGCGUGACGACGAGGCACUACGGUGCUGAAGCAACAAAUGCCCUGCUUCCAGGAAAAGCCUCUAAGCCUCAGGUAACAUCAGAUCGUACCCGAAACCGACACAGGUGGUCAGGUAGAGAAUACCAAGGCGCUUGAGAGAACCCGGGUGAAGGAACUAGGCAAAAUGGUGCCGUAACUUCGGGAGAAGGCACGCUGACAUGUAAGUGAAGCGGUUUACCCGUGGAGCUGAAGUCAGUCGAAGAUACCAGCUGGCUGCAACUGUUUAUUAAAAACACAGCACUGUGCAAACACGAAAGUGGACGUAUACGGUGUGACGCCUGCCCGGUGCCGGAAGGUUAAUUGAUGGGGGCAGCGCAAGCGAAGCUCCUGAUCGAAGCCCCGGUAAACGGCGGCCGUAACUAUAACGGUCCUAAGGUAGCGAAAUUCCUUGUCGGGUAAGUUCCGACCUGCACGAAUGGCGUAAUGAUGGCCAGGCUGUCUCCACCCGGGACUCAGUGAAAUUGAACUCGCUGUGAAGAUGCAGUGUACCCGCGGCAAGACGGAAAGACCCCGUGAACCUUUACUAUAGCUUGACACUGAACACUGGUCCUUGAUGUGCAGGAUAGGUGGGAGGCUUUGAAGUGUGGACGCCAGUCUGCAUGGAGCCGUCCUUGAAAUACCACCCUUUAAUGGCUGGUGUUCUAACGUAGACCCGUGAACCGGGUUGCGGACAGUGUCUGGUGGGUAGUUUGACUGGGGCGGUCUCCUCCUAAAGCGUAACGGAGGAGCACGAAGGUUGGCUAAUCCUGGUCGGACAUCAGGAGGUUAGUGCAAUGGCAUAAGCCAGCUUGACUGCGAGCGUGACGGCGCGAGCAGGUGCGAAAGCAGGUCAUAGUGAUCCGGUGGUUCUGAAUGGAAGGGCCAUCGCUCAACGGAUAAAAGGUACUCCGGGGAUAACAGGCUGAUACCGCCCAAGAGUUCAUAUCGACGGCGGUGUUUGGCACCUCGAUGUCGGCUCAUCACAUCCUGGGGCUGAAGUAGGUCCCAAGGGUAUGGCUGUUCGCCAUUUAAAGUGGUACGCGAGCUGGGUUUAGAACGUCGUGAGACAGUUCGGUCCCUAUCUGCCGUGGGCGCUGGAGAACUGAGGGGGGCUGCUCCUAGUACGAGAGGACCGGAGUGGACGCAUCACUGGUGUUCGGGUUGUCAUGCCAAUGGCACUGCCCGGUAGCUAAAUGCGGAAGAGAUAAGUGCUGAAAGCAUCUAAGCACGAAACUUGCCCCG
rnacentral:rRNA from 1 species